rnacentral:rRNA from 1 species
AUUGAACGCUGGCGGCAUGCCUUACACAUGCAAGUCGAACGGCAGCACGGGAGCAAUCCUGGUGGCGAGUGGCGAACGGGUGAGUAAUAUAUCGGAACGUGCCCAGUCGUGGGGAUAACGUAGCGAAAGCUACGCUAAUACCGCAUACGAUCUACGGAUGAAAGCGGGGGAUCGCAAGACCUCGCGCGAUUGGAGCGGCCGAUAUCAGAUUAGGUAGUUGGUGAGGUAAAGGCUCACCAAGCCGACGAUCUGUAGCUGGUCUGAGAGGACGACCAGCCACACUGGGACUGAGACACGGCCCAGACUCUUACGGGAGGCAGCAGUGGGGAAUUUUGGACAAUGGGCGCAAGCCUGAUCCAGCAAUGCCGCGUGCAGGAUGAAGGCCUU